GUCGGUCACAAAUUUGGGAAACAAAGAAAAUAAUGAAGAGGGAUAGGGUAUGCUGAACAAAAAAAUAAAAUCGGGUUAGGUGUGGCGUUGGGGUAGAAGAAAUGGGGGUAGAAAAUCAAUCCUUGAGGAUCUGGAAUAGAAAAGAUGAUUACUAAAAAUAAAAUUUCCAACACUUUUUUUUUAGAAUUUUUGUUUUUUUUCAAUACUUCAAAAUACAAUGGAAAACUUGAGAAUACAACUUGAAAUUUAUUUUUUAGAAUUUUUUUUACUUCACGAACCUAUUCCGGCU
rnacentral:lncRNA from 1 species